GAUGAACGCUGACAGAAUGCUUAACACAUGCAAGUCUUUGGCGAAGCUGUGCUUGCACAGCCUAGCCAAGGCGGACGGGUGAGUAACGCGUAAGGAACUUGCCCUGCAGUCAGGGAUAACAGACGGAAACGACUGAUAAGACCUGGUAAAGUCAGGCGGACUCAUGUCCAGCCUGAUGAAAAGAGAUGCUGCAGGAGAGCCUUGCGUCCUAUUAGCUUGUUGGUGGGGUAACGGCCCACCAAGGCGAUGAUAGGUAGCCGGCCUGAGAGGGUGGACGGCCACAAGGGGACUGAGAUACGGCCCUUACUCAUACGGGAGGCAGCAGUGGGGAAUGUUGGACAAUGGGGGCAACCCUGAUCCAGCAAUUCUGUGUGCACGAUGAAGGUUUUCGGAUUGUAAAGUGCUUUCAGCAGGGAAGAAAAAAAUGACGGUACCUGCAGAAGAAGCGACGGCUAAAUACGUG
rnacentral:rRNA from 1 species